rnacentral:lncRNA from 1 species
UAAAUUUAAUAAUGACCGGAAAAAUAAAGUCAAUCUAUGUUAUUUUCAAAACAACUAAAAAAUCCCAUAGAAAGCAGAAAAAAAAUGUUGGACAAUGAAACCAAAAACAAUAAACUGAAAAAAAAGAAGGAAAAAACCAAGCAAAUUUGGGUGAACCUUGUAAACCCAGAUUAAUCUUUCAAACUCACAACUUGUUAAACUAUAAACUCAAGCCCAAC